GGCACGGUGGUGCAGUGGGUAGCACUGUCGCCUCACAGCAGGAAGGCCGAGGGUUCGAAUCUCAGCUUGGGGCG
rnacentral:tRNA from 1 species